CAGGAAAACUAUUUCUACCACUAGCUCAGGAAUAUUUGGCCAUUCCUUGACCCAGGGGUGGAGAUGAGCAUGGUAUUGGAACCUGUUCACUAUUUGUUCAGUCAUUAUUUCUAAAUAAUACCAAGGCUACAAAACAUUAUUGAUCCCAAAAGUAUUUAUUGAGCAGCUACAGUCUGAGGGCUGUGCAAGAUGACUAAAAAGGUUUGGUCUUUCAUUUCUAGUUGGUGCCUAUUAAAUAUAUACCAGUACCAGCUGAUUGGUUUAUUUGUCAAGGAAUAGAUUAAACCCACAUCUAGUAGUCUCCACUCACCCAUAGGCAUUACCAAAUGAAGAGUACUCUGGAGCUUCCAUUGUGGCUCAGCAGAAACAAAUCUGACUAGUAACAAUGAGGUUGUGGAUUCGAUCCCUGGCCUCAUUCAGUGGGUUAAGGAUCUGGUGUUGCCGUGGGCUGUGCUGUGUGUCACAAACGUGAAUUGGAUCUGCAUUGCUGGGGAUGUGGCAUAAGCCAGCAGCUAUAGCUCCAAUUGGACCCUUAGCCUGGGGACCUCCAUAUGCCAUGGGUGUGGCCCUAAAAACCAACAAAUAAAAUAAAAUAAAGUGUAUUCUAAAUUAUCCUUUCUCUCUUGUCACCUUAUCACUACCACUAGAGUUUAUAAGCCUGUUAUAGACUUGAAAUCACAUUACCAUAACUCCUGUUCAAUAUGAGGAUCUCAUCACAUUUUGAUACAUACCUAUCAUAUCAAAUGACAGGGGAUCAUUUCUAUCAUUUGCAUAGAUGCAAAAUCAACUGUUUGCACCAAGGUUCUGCCAUGACCAGCAUAGAAGCUCCUGGUAUCCACUGAGCAAAUGGAGGAUAUUGGCACCAGGUGCAGUGGAGAGAAGUGCCAAGAUCAUUCAGGUCCUGUGUCCUGGGAGGUGAAGGAUUGCCUGAGACAGCAGCACACUGAAGCAGAUAGCUGAUGACUAUUAAAACACACUUCUUGAUUUACAGUCACCUGUCAGGUAGGAGAAUUUAUCCCCGCUGAUCAGAGCAGAAAGUACUCUGAGUGCAGGGAGUGAGUAUACGUGUGUGCCUGGGUGUAUUUUAAGUAUCCACCUGGGAAAUCUCCAAAUCAGCAUUUAUUUCAAUAAUCUCAUACAUUCAUAUGGCACCUUUCUCCAUAAAUGCUUCCAAAGCAGUUUGUAAAUUUUAUGUAGCUGAGGAAUCAUCAUUGCUGGAAUAGAAGGAAAUAGAUACUUACCAGCUUCCUAAUGAGAACUUGGGGCUAACUGUACUUUUGUUAAGACUACAGAGAUCCAGGAAUGUGUGUGUAUUUAAAUGACAUUGUAUUUCAUUAAAUAGUAUUCACAUUUGCUCUGAAUAAUCCAGUCUACCUAGCCUUCCAGGCUCACCUCUAGAGGCAAUGCUACCAUUGAUGCUAAUUUUUGGUCCCCUGGAGCAAAGUACUAUCACCUAGCCCUGGAUUUUGCUCUUCCCUAGAUACCCAGGAGAACAGAAGUAGGUAGGAGACCUUUGUCACUCUUAGGGGUUCUACAUUAUGCAGUUCUGGCCUCUUAGGAGCUGAGCAAUAUCUGAGAGGCCAGUUAACAUCUGGGAGGAAAUUAAAGGAACUUAAAAUUCAAGGAGCUUCAGGAAUUCAUUCAGUAAAUAUUUAUUGAGCCAUUACUCUGAUCUAGAAACUCUGCUAGGAUACUAGAGAUAUCACUAAGAGUACAGAGACAGGGCCCCUGACCUGGAGCCAGCAGUCUAGUAGGGGAAGUGGCCAUUAGUGCAAUAAUCCCACAGAUCACUGUAAACUGAGAAUCAUGAUGAAUGCUCCAAAGGAUGGUUCUGAGGGCACAAGCAGGGAAGUUCACCCAGAUUGGGGAGUCAGGGAGGCUGCCUGAGACAAUAAGGCUCAAGUUUUCUGCUCUAGGAUGAAGGAAAUAAAUACUUAUCAGAUUCCUAAUGAGAACUUGGG
rnacentral:lncRNA from 1 species